GAACAAAUUGACAGCAUGCGAGUUAAUCAAAGAACAACCACGAAGGGAAAAGGAUACAACUUACUAGUCUAACAAAAAUAACAUCAGAGACGUCCUGCGGCUUCAGAGCAACAACAUUUGGGACCGAUUGUCCCCAUCGCAGCAGAAGAAUCCGACAUGGCGGCAGAUCCAGUGAAGAGCACAGAAUAAUGAACUGGUUGGAAGCACACUGGGAUCUGUGGAAUCACUUUCAUUGACUGAGUUGCGACUGACCCAGGUUGACUGCGCGGUGCUGUCUCAUGUCAUGUGGCUCUGCGAGACAAUAAAAGACCCUGACCUGCAGGGCUGCCAUAUUCGCUGUGAAGGAUUGCAGCGUCUGGCACCCGGGCUGCACAAAUGUCAGCAAUUGAGGUUGAACAAUAACGGUCUAACCGUUUCUUGUGCCGAGGAUCUCGCCUUCGCUCUCAGUUCAAAUCGCUCACUGACGGAGCUGGAGCUGGGUGGUAAUGAACUGGGAGAUUCGGGAAUGAAGCUGCUGUCUGUAGCUCUGAGCAAACCGGAUCGUAAAAUAGAGAAACUCCAGUGAGUACCGGACUGUGAGAGGAUCAGGUAGAUUUUCCGCUCCGUCACCCUCCAAUUAUUGGUGCAGCCGUGCAGCCCAAGUAAUCCGCCCUCGCCCUGGGCUCCAUUGGCUUCGGUCACCUUCCUUCAAUGGUCCAGAACGUUUUUAACGCAGGCCGUUCGGUGCAGACGAUUAACGGUUCGAGGAGUAGGCCUGAGUUGGAAUGGGUUCUUCCAAUGGGCCUGUAAGCAUAGGGAGAUUGGAGACAUCUUUAUCCAUUUCCAGUUUAGUACGUGACCACAGUGGGGAACGACUGAACAGUUGGGAGGAUGAGGUGUCCCCAGGAGAAAUGUGUAAAGAAACACAGACUUGGGUAGAACUGGUCAGGGAAAGAUUGUUGGUGGAAUGUUUCAAUCGAUGUUGGAUGGAUUUUAUCAUUUUUUCUAUACCUUUUCAUUUUACAAACUUUGAAUUAAAAGUGGUUGGAUGUUAUCGCUGUUCUCGAAGAUAUUGGGAAGCUUUCAUAUAAAUUAAAGGAUAUUCUGCAAGGAAACGAUUUUCCAGUGCAGCAGUUUUCCGAGACACCAGUGCGUCAGUGUGGCGAUUGGGGCUUGGGAGAUCGAGUUAACACAGCGGAUGAAGGAACCACCUCUCAGGUUGCCUCCAUUGGCACGGAACGUCUGCCCAGUCUGAGGGCUAAGUCGCGCUGCGGUGUAACAGGCUUUCAAAAGAAUACAGUCUGCGAUGAACAGAAGCAAAGCACAUUUGCGACGGGUUUUUAUGGCGGGACAGCACAAACGCAGAGGGUCCCAGAAAUACUUCAGGUUGUGCCGCCUCGUUGUCCUUUAGCAAGGCAGCGCAUUCCUGUGGAAAUGAGUGAGAAUAACGUGAAUCUCUAAUGUUUGCUUUCACGGCUUCUCUCUUUCUCUAUCUAUCUAUCCCUAUCUCUCUCAGUCUCUCUCUCCUCCACUAACCACUCUCUAUCUCCCCUUUCACACUCUUCACUCUCCUUUCCAAAUAUUCCCCUGCUUGACCCACUCUCCCCCGUUCUCUCACCCUCCUCACUCUUUUCCCUCUAUCCCCUUUCCUCCCUUCUUUUCUCUGCCCCUCUCUCCUCUCUGCCUUCUCUCUCUCUCAUUCUUCUCACUCUCCCACUAUCCCCUCUCUCUGAACCCCCCCCUCUCUCUCUCUCUCCAUCUUUCUCUCUGUCUGUCCAUCCAUCACUUCCUCUCGUCCUCAGUCUACGGUAGGUAAAUCUCACCGCUUCCUGUACCGAGGAUCUCGCCUCUGUUCUCACUACAAGCUCUUCAUUGACAGAGCUCGACCUGGGUUCCAAUAAACUGGAUGAUUCCAGCGUGAAAUCGGUGUGUGCGGCUCUGAGGAACGUGGACUGUAAAUUACAGAAUCUACAAUUAUGGGCUGUCGAUCUCACAGAUUCUUGCACAGAGGAUCUUGUCUCCGCUCUCACUACAAACCGAUCACUGACGGAGCUGGACCUGAGAUCAAACUCCCUCACAGACCGAUCUGUCCCCGCUCUCCUCCACCUCAUACUGACCCACGGAAGUCUGGAGCGGAUCAGGAUGCAACGAAACCAUUUCAGUUCAGAAGGAAGAAUCAGCUGGAGGCAGUGCAGGAACCUGUCCCUGGACUGAGGGUGACUCUAUGAAACAGCUCAAUGCAGAAACUCAACAAGCUUAGUUUCCAAAUUCUGCUGUCCGAUGUCUCUCUGUUCCCUUUACACGGCUGGGCUCUGACUUGCUUGAGUUAUUGAGAGAGGAUGGAUAGGGUGGGACUAUUUCCAUGAAGUAUUGGAGGCUGAGGCGUGACUUUCCAGAGGUAUAUAAAAUCAUUACGGGAGUAAAUAAUGGGGAUUGCCACAGUAAUUUCCCCCGUAAACGGGAAUCGAAAACGAGAGGGCAUGGAUUUACAGUGAGAGGGGAAAAUUAAAAGGGAACUGCGGGUCAUUUUUUUCCCACAAAGAGCGGUGGAAGGAACGGCCUGAGGAAGCUGUAGAGACGGGGACAACUACAAUAUUUAAAAUGUUACUGGGACAGGUCCAUUGAUCUGAAAGAAUUAGGCGGAUAUGGGCCGAAUGCAAGUAAACCGGUCUCAGCGCGAGCCAGGCGGAGGGUUUGUGACGUCAGUAGAGAGGGCGGGGCGGGCCAGUGACCAUCGGUGGACAGUCCGAGAGUGAAUGAGGCCCUCCGAUCUGAACCCGUAAUUCUGCUCCUCUCUCUGCAGCUGCUCCCGGCCUGCUGAGUGUUCCCAGCACUUCACUUGUAUUGAUCAAGAAUGUGGGUCUCCCCAAUGAGUGAGAGAGUGCGAGGUGCAAUCCCGACCUCAUCCCUGACAAAUCAAUCACAAACAAAUUAAGAUAUAAAUAUUUAAUUAUUUUUGUCCUCUGCGGGGCGACCGCUGCCUUAUCACCCUCUUAGUCUCUCUGUGCAACGCCCUCCCCUUAUUAUCCGUGUUUCCGAUCAUUCCUAUCGGCGAAACAGGUCUACAGAGGAUGGCAGCUCCCUGGCACUACACUCAGCUCUGGAGCAUCUGGACAAUAAAGUCACAUACGGUAGGCUAUUGUUUAUUUGCUACAGCUCUGCCUUCAAUACAAUAAUUCGAAUCAAGCUUGUCACCAAACUCCGAGACCGAGGACUCAACACCUCCCUCUGCAACUGGAUCCUUGACUUUCUAACGAACAGUCUGCAAUCAGUGAGGAUAGGAAGCAAUACCUCCGGCACGAUUAUUCUCGACACUGGUGCCCCAAAAGGCUGCGUCCUCAGCCCUCUACUCCCUAUACACUCACGACGUUGUCGCUAGAUUCUGUUCUAACUCCAUCUACAAGUUUGCAGAUGAUACCACCGUUGUAGGCCGUAUCUCAAAUGGCGAUGAUUCGGAGUACAGGAAGGAGAUAAGAGCUUAGUAGAAUGGUGUCAUGACAACAACCUCAAUGUCAACAAAACUAAAGAGCUGGUCAUUUACUUCAUGAAAGGGGGCGGUGUACAUGCACCUGUCUACAUCAAUCAUGCUGAGGUCGAAAGGGUUGAGAGCUUCAAGGUCUUGGGAGUGAACUUUGACAACAGCCUGUCCUGGUCAAAUCACGUAGAAUCCACGACCAAGAAAGCUCACCAGCGCCUCUACUUCCUCAGGAGGCUAAAGAAAUUUGGUUUGUCCCCUUUGACUCUCACCAACUUUUACCGAUGCACCAUAGAAAGCAUCCUAUCUGUAUGUAUCACGGCUUGGUAUGGCAACUGCUCUGCCCAAGACUACAAGAAGCUGCAGAGAGUUGUGGACACAGCCCAGCGCAUCACGGACAACAGCCUCCCCUCCUUGGACUCUGUCUUUACUUCUCAUUGUCUUGGUAAAGCAGCCAGCAUAAUCAAAGACACCACCCACCUGGGACAUUCUCUCUUCUUACCUCUUCCAUCGGGUGGAAGAUACUGGAGCCUCAGGGCAUUACCACCAGGUUCAAGGACAGCUUCUACCCCACUGUGAUAAGACUAUUGAACGGUUCCGUUAUACAGUGAGAUGGACUAUGACCUCACGAUCUACUUUGUUGUGAUCUUGCACCUUAUUGCACUGCACUUUCUCUGUAGCUGCGAAUCUUUACUCUGUACUUUUAUUGUUUUUACCUGUACUAUAUCAAUGCACUCUGUACUAACUCAAUGUAACUGCACUGCGUAAUGAAUUGACCUGUACGAUCGGUUUGCAAGACAAG